rnacentral:pre_miRNA from 1 species
GUUUGGUGUCCCCGGGAGUUCCCUUCAAACACUUUACGAAGCAUCUUUCUAAGACUAUUUGUGAAGUGUUUGGGGGAACUCUCGGUGUCACCAAGC